GAUGAACGCUAGCGAUAGGCUUAACACAUGCAAGUCGAGGGGCAGCAUGGUCUUAGCUUGCUAAGACUGAUGGCGACCGGCGCACGGGUGCGUAACGCGUAUGCAACUUGCCUCACAGAGAGGGAUAACCCGUCGAAAGACGGACUAAUACCGCGUACACUUGGGAUAGGGCAUCCUGACCCAAGGAAAUGAAAUUCGCUGUGAGAUAGGCAUGCGUCCCAUUAGCUAGUUGGUGAGGUAACGGCUCACCAAGGCGACGAUGGGUAGGGGAACUGAGAGGUUGAACCCCCACACUGGUACUGAGACACGGACCAGACUCCUACGGGAGGCAGCAGUGAGGAAUAUUGGUCAAUGGGCGAGAGCCUGAACCAGCCAAGUCGCGUGAAGGAUGACUGUCUUAUGGAUUGUAAACUUCUUUUAUACGGGAAUAACAAGAGCCACGUGUGGCUCCCUGCAUGUACCGUAUGAAUAAGCAUCGGCUAACUCCGUG
rnacentral:rRNA from 1 species